AGCGGAUUCUCUUUUGCAAACUGCAUCCUCAUGAGGAGAUCGGAACUGUGCUUCAUCUCGAAGCGGUGGUUGCGAAACUCUUCGCGGGCCUUCUCGACGGCGGCGAUCUCGUCGGCGGUGCCGGCGUUGGGGUCGAACUCCCACGUCUGCCUCCCGACGUGGCCGUUGGUGGUGCGCAGCCACGGGUUGCCGCCCUCGGCAAUCUUGAGCUUCCACAUUCCCGCCG
rnacentral:misc_RNA from 1 species